rnacentral:rRNA from 1 species
AAGCUCGUAGUUGAAUUUCGAGAUCAGUACGCUGGUCGUGCCUUCGGUAUGCACUGGUGUCACUGGUUUCUCCCUUCUGAAGAACCGUCAUGUCAUUAAGUUGGUGUGGCGGGGAAUCAGGACUGUUACUUUGAAAAAAUUAGAGUGUUUAAAGCAGGCUCGCGCUUGAAUACAUUAGCAUGGAAUAAUGAAAUAGGACGUUUGACCCUAUUUUGUUGGUUUCUAGGAUCGACGUAAUGAUUAAUAGGGAUAGUUGGGGGCAUUAGUAUUCAAUUGUCAGAGGUGAAAUUCUUGGAUUUAUUGAAGGCUAACUACUGCGAAAGCAUUUGCCAAGGAUGUUUUCAUUAAUCAAGAACGAAAGUUAGGGGAUCGAAGACGAUCAGAUACCGUCGUAGUCUUAACCAUAAACUAUGCCGACUAGGGAUCGGAUGAUGUUAAUUUUUUAAUGACUCAUUCGGCGCCUUACGGGAAACCAAAGUGUUUGGGUUCCGGGGGGAGUAUGGUCGCAAGGCUGAAACUUAAAGGAAUUGACGGAAGGGCACUACCAGGGGUGGAGCCUGCGGCUUAAUUCGACUCAACACGGGAAAA